GGAAUUAAAUAAUUUUUUUUAAAAAAAGCUGGAAUGAUACAGAGAAGAUUAGCAUAGCCUCUGUGCAAGGACGACACACAUGCAUUCGUAUUUUU
rnacentral:snRNA from 1 species